CACAGCCUGAAACAGUGCCAGGGGCUCCUGGAGAGGAUGCUGAAGCAGCAGCUUCCCUUUGAAAAAGGCAAAAAGUCCCCAGCUCAGAGCCACAGCAGUGAGCUGGAGGUUGAGGUCAUUUUCUUGUGAAAUGUCCCAUCCAUUACUCUCACCCACAGCCUACAGCCCUGCUGACCACUGAGAUUUGGUUGAAACCGGCCCACAGAGUACAACUACCUGAGAACACAUCCUUGAGAAAGACAGCCAGGCACAUUGCCCAAACCACAGGCUAUUGAAAACUUGGCCAAAAGUGACUACUCUGGACGGUUGACCUCCAAAGUGCUGAUGAAUACAAUGAACUGUGGAGGAUGUAUGAUUUGUUUUGAACACAUUUACUAUGAUUGAUGGUCCGGAUUUGGCAAGUUAGUUCAUUCCCAGUGGAGAGGAAGGUUUCACUGCCUUGCCUCUUUCAACAUUCCUGUUGAGACAGGUUUCACUCUUAUUGGCCAAUGUACUCAGAAAUCACUUACAUUUGCAGCAUAAUGAAUUCAUUAGCUACACUGGAUCAAUGCUGUGCAUAAGAUUCCUGAGUCAACAUAAGCUCUUAAUUGAAUUUCCUUAUUAUAAUGCCUUUGGAAAUUUUCCUUCAGGCUACUAAAUUUCAAGGCAUGAGUCUAUGUGUCAACCGGUAAUUAUGCUAGUAACUUUUUGAGACCAGUCAGGGCCAGCGCCAGAGUCAGGUUAGGAAGUGAUCUAUUAUGAAUGGCAGGUUAUAAAACAUACAUGUGAUCAAAACACCCACAAAUGGACUCACACCAUUCUACGCUUCCAGUUAUUCUGACAGAGUUAUCAGCCUUCUGCGCAAGCCAAUUUCAGUUACUGAUUUUUUUUAAAAAUCGUGAAAUAAAAACUGAGAUAAUCAAGUUAA